UACGGAGGGUGCAAGCGUUAUCCGGAUUCACUGGGUUUAAAGGGUGCGUAGGCGGGUUGGUAAGUCCGUGGUGAAAUCCCCAAGCUUAACUUGGGAACUGCCUUGAUACUAUCUAUCUUGAAUAUUGUGGAGGUAAGCGGAAUAUGUCAUGUAGCGGUGAAAUGCUUAGAUAUGACAUAGAACACCUAUUGCGAAGGCAGCUUACUACGCAUAUAUUGACGCUGAGGCACGAAAGCGUGGGGAUCAAACAGG
rnacentral:rRNA from 1 species